UUUACAGGAAGAGACUGAGGCAGAGAGGGAAGAAACAGAUUGAUGAAGGAGCCACAAAUGAGUCAUUGUUCGAGGCUGGGACGUGAAGAUUUUAUAAGAAAAGCCGGUGGGCUCCGAGACAAAGUUAAAAAGCUGCAAGUGUCCCCCACAAACUUCUGGAUCUACUGUAUCCCCAGCAGACCCUCACCUCCCUGCCUCUGAGGUCAGAGGCCACCUUGAACGGUGGGUCCAAGGAAAUUAAGUAUGAAUCAAAGCUCAGCAACGUGCAUCCAUAUGGAAUUUCGGAGCCUUUAUGUCCACUGCAGAAUUUAACAAAGCUGAGAAGACCAAGAAGAAGCAACACCCCAAUAGCAAUGUGCACAGCUAGGACCAAGAUCUUGGUUAGUGAACUGGGCUUCUAGAAGAAAUUGCUGACUUCAGUGCCACAGCAGGAAGUAAGCAAGAUGAGCCUGGAUCAGAAAGACUCAUCAGACUCUUGGUUUCAGCUCAGGUCACGAUCCCACGGGUUGUGAGAUCAAGCCCCACGUCAGGCACUGCAGUUAUAGCAUGGAGCCUGC